rnacentral:rRNA from 1 species
UACGUAGGGUGCAAGCGUUAUCCGGAAUUAUUGGGCGUAAAGAGCUCGUAGGCGGUUCCGUAAGUCGGGUGUGAAAAAUCUGGGCUCAACCCAGUGGAGCACUCGAUACUGCGGUGACUCGAGUCCGGUAGGGGAGUGUGGAAUUCCUGGUGUAGCGGUGAAAUGCGUAGAUAUCGGGGAGGAACACCUGUGGCGAAAGCGGCUCACUGGACCAUUACUGACGCUGAUGCUCGAAAGCUAGGGGAGCAAACAGGG